AGUCUGUGAUGAAGACUGUGGAACUUAUUUUGUCUGAAUUUUCUAUGAUUACAAACCUAUUACUGCCUUCCUUCUGAGGCU